AUUAUUUUGUUUUCUACUAACCCGCAUAGAAAAAUACAUUUCGCAAUGUGGUUAUGACUGUAAUCAUAAUUUAAGCCAUACUGUAGCUAUUUGUGUUAUUGUUCACAAUCAGUACCACCAUUAGUUUUGCUAGAUGUUUUACUGUAUAAGACAUUGACAUAACAAUACCACGUACAGUGAGUGUAUGAUAAACAGGUGUUUAAUUGUUUGUAACUGUCCAUCUAUCUGAAGCUCAACUGUUAAUAACAUUAAAAAUUGUAUUAGAACAGUUUCACAAAAGGGUAACAGUUUGGUGAAUUGUCCAUAUUUUGUUCCAUACAGUGCACGGGCAAAGCUAAAAAAGCGCGGUGUCACAAAGACAAUAAAAAAAAUAUAUUGUUUCACUGUGAAUCAACCAUACCUGGUAAGUUGAAACUUCGAUAACGGAAAAGUGAUUACAUAGGUGUUGGUGAGAUCGUUAUUAUCGGUUUCAAGCUCGUGAGAAAAGAUUGUUUGUGUCAAGUUGCUGGUAAAAAUUCAACAGAGAAGGAGUUUUAGACGUAUUUUUCCGAAAAGUGUUUUUUUUUUCGGAGUUUUGGUCUGCUUUCAAUCAAGCCUGUGACCGUGUGUAACCGUGUGGGGUUUUAGGCUGCACCUAUCAUUGGCAUCAGCGUUUCGCAUCCGGAACAAGGACCAGUUUUGUCAAUUCCGCAUAUCCUCCAGAAUGGUAUUCGCUGUCUCCUGCUGCAAGUUGAGCAGCAAGCGGUCCGUAUAACACAAGGCGACGCAUAACAAAAAUUUCAACUGCACUAUCCUAACACUCAACUUGUUUCUCCAGCCACUGCGGACGAUGUGCUUUCGGAUGCUGUUCGUUAUUGAUUGCUUCUCCCAAAAAACGACCGGUAUGCCGGCUAGAAAAAAGGAAAACCCGGAAGAAAGCUGCAGGUAUCCCUAUAACGUGGUCACAGGAUGUCGGAAAUGAUCGCUCUCAUCGGGGAUCUUCCUGAAUUGAAUUGUUUAGUUGCGUUAUGAUUGUUCAGAGUGCUAUUUGA